rnacentral:rRNA from 1 species
UACGGAGGGUGCGAGCGUGGUCCGGAAUCAUUGGGCGUAAAGGGCGCGUAGGUGGCCCGGUCAGUUCGUGGUGAAAGCGCGGGGCUCAACCCUGCGUCGGCCAUGAAUACUGCCGCGGCUGGAGCACUGUAGAGGCAGGCGGAAUUCCAGGUGUAGCGGUGAAAUGCGUAGAUAUCUGGAGGAAUACCGGUGGCGAAGGCGGCAUCCUGGACCGACAUUGACGCUGAGGAGCGAAAGCUAGGGGAGCAAACAGG